GGGGAAUUUUGGACAAUGGGGGAAACCCUGAUCCAGCCAUCCCGCGUGUGCGAUGAAGGCCUUCGGGUUGUAAAGCACUUUUGGCAGGAAAGAAACGUCGCGGGUUAAUACCCCGCGGAACUGACGGUACCUGCAGAAUAAGCACCGGCUAACUACGUGCCAGCAGCCGCGGUAAUACGUAGGGUGCAAGCGUUAAUCGGAAUUACUGGGCGUAAAGCGUGCGCAGGCGGUUUAUCAAGUCAGGGGUGAAAGGCUACGGCUCAACCGUAGUGAGCCUCUGAAACUGGUGAACUUGAGUGUAGGAGAGGAAAGUGGAAUUCCCAGUGUAGCGGUGAAAUGCGUAGAUAUUGGGAGGAACACCAGUGGCGAAGGCGACUUUCUGGACUACAACUGACGCUGAGGCACGAAAGCGUGGGGAGCAAACA
rnacentral:rRNA from 1 species